rnacentral:tRNA from 1 species
GGCGAGCGUAACUCAGUUGGUUAGAGUGUUAGGUUGUGGUUCUAAAAGGCGGGGGUUCAAAUCCCCUCGCCCGCCU